GUCUAUAUGUCCGAGUGGUUAAGGAGACAGACUCAAAAUCUGUUGGACUUUGCCUGUGCAGGUUUAAAUCCGGCUAUCGACA